rnacentral:lncRNA from 1 species
AUAUUUUUUUACAAAUUGUCUGCAACCAUAUUUCAUUAUUGUGAUCGAUCGACUUCCCUGUCGAGUGUGAAGAAUGUCAUAUUGAGUACAGAAUGUCGAUGAAUUCGCCAGCUCAGUAUCAAGCACCCUCAUCUGAAGAUUCAAAGCACGGCAAAUUGAGAGUGUUUAUAUGGCGAGUUAUAAAUAACAGUCAUGUUAACGAAACAUCGCAACUGCGCAAAAGUAGCUUGCGUACCACUUUUGAGGUUAAUUCAGAGGGAAUCCCGACGUCAAGAAGUUGCCGGAAAAGCGACUAAGUCAAAUGGGUUUUGGAUGAGGGUUCUGUAGCGUCAGUAUAGACGAGGGAGUUUUUCGUCAUCUCUCUUGUGAAAUUGAUUCCUGAAGG